GAUACAGUUUUAAAGUAGAAAAGUUUAGUAGCGUCAGGUGAUUCUACUGAUCUCCUCUACUUUCAAACUGUGCCC
rnacentral:pre_miRNA from 1 species